GAUGAACGCUGGCGGUACGUCUGACACAUGCAAGUCGAACGGUAAGGAGGGCUUCGGCCCUCCCUAGAGUGGCGAACGGCUGAGUAACACGUAGGAACCUACCCUCCGGCUCGGGAUAACGGACCGAAAGGCCCGCUAAUACCGGAUACAUCCGCAAGGAGGAAAGGCUUGCCACCGGGAGAGGGGCCUGCGGCGUAUUAGCUUGAUGGUGGGGUAAUGGCCUACCAUGGCGAUGAUGCGUAGCUGGUCUGAGAGGACGAUCAGCCAGACUGGGACUGAGACACGGCCCAGACUCCUACGGGAGGCAGCAGUUCAGAAUCUUGCACAAUGGGCGAAAGCCUGAUGCAGCGAUGCCGCGUGUGCGAAGAAGGCCUUCGGGUCGUAAAGCACUGUCAGAGGGGACGAUUAUGACGGUACCCUCAGAGGAAGCCACGGCUAAUUACGUGCCAGCCGCCGCAGUAAUAC
rnacentral:rRNA from 1 species